rnacentral:rRNA from 1 species
AUUGAACGCUGGCGGCAUGCUUUACACAUGCAAGUCGAACGGUAACAGGGUGCUUGCCCCGCUGACGAGUGGCGAACGGGUGAGUAAUGCAUCGGAAUGUACCGUGUAAUGGGGGAUAGCUCGGCGAAAGCCGGAUUAAUACCGCAUACGCCCUGAGGGGGAAAGUGGGGGUCCGAGAGGCCUCACGUUAUUCGAGCAGCCGAUGUCUGAUUAGCUAGUUGGUGAGGUAAAGGCUCACCAAGGCGUCGAUCAGUAGCGGGUCUGAGAGGAUGAUUCGCCACACUGGGACGGAGACACGGCCCAGACUCCUACGGGAGGCAGCAGUGGGGAAUUUUGGACAAUGGGCGCAAGCCUGAUCCAGCCAUGCCGCGUGUCUGAAGAAGGCCUUCGGGUUGUAAAGGACUUUUGUCCGGGAGCAAAUCCUAGUGGUUAAUACCUACUGGGGCUGAGAGUACCGGAAGAAUAAGCACCGGCUAACUACGUG